GACGGAGGAUGCAAGCGUUAUCCGGAAUGAUUGGGCGUAAAGCGUCCGCAGGCGGCAGUUCAAGUCUGCUGUCAAAGACCGGGGCUUAACUUCGGAAAGGCGGUGGAAACUGAACAGCUAGAGUAUGGUAGGGGCAGAGGGAAUUCCUGGUGUAGCGGUGAAAUGCGUAGAGAUCAGGAAGAACAUCGGUGGCGAAGGCGCUCUGCUGGACCAUAACUGACACUCAGGGACGAAAGCUAGGGGAGCGAAAGGG
rnacentral:rRNA from 1 species